ensembl:lncRNA
AUUUCUCAAGAGGUAGGUCAGGUGGUCUGGUAUUCCCAUCUCUUUCAGAAUUUUCCACAGUUUAUUGUGAUCCACACAGUCAAAGGCUUUGGCAUAGUCAAUAAGCAGAAAUAGAUGUUUUUUCUGGAACUCUCUUGCUUUUUCCAUGAUCCAGCGGAUGUUGGCAAUUUGAUCUCUGGUUCCUCUGCCUUUUCUAAAACCAGCUUGAACAUCUGGAAGUUCACAGUUCCAUAUUGCUGAAGCCUGGCUUGGAGAAUUUUGAGAUUACUUUACUAGCGUGUGAGAUGAGUGCAAUUGUGCAGUAGUUUGAGCAUUUUUUGGCAUUGCUUUUGGGAUUGGAAUGAAAACUGACCUUUUCCAGUCCUGAGGCCACUGCUGAGUUUUCCAAAUUUGCUGGCAUAUUGAGUGCAGCACUUUUACAGCAUCAUCAUUUAGGAUUUGAAGUAGCUCAACUUGAAUUCCAUCACUUCCACUAGCUUUGUUCAUAGUGAUGCUUUCUAAGGCCCACUUGACUUCACAUUCCAGGUUGUUGUUUAAGCCACCCAAUUUGUGGUAAUUUGUUACAGCAGGCCUAGGAAUUCAAUACAGAAAACAAGAAAUGGAAGUGUUUUAUGAAGGAGGUUUAAUGGACCCAUGGUAUGCUGGCUGAGAAGGAGACUAGGGUGAGGACUGGCAAGACUUUGAUGACCUUUCUGGGAACAGUUUCAGCUGAAUAUUUGGGAUAGAAUUCUUAUUAGAGUGAAUCAGGGCCUGGGGGAGGGAGAAUGGGGAGGAAGGAAGUUGAGGCAGUGGCUAUAGACAACUUUUCACAACAUGUUCAGAGUGUGGAGGAUGGUUGUGGGGUAGAAAGUGAGGGGAAGUUUUUUUUUAAUGAUUACCAUCCUAAAUAUGUUUAUAUGCUAGUGGCAGUCAUCUAGUAGGGAGAAAAGUUGAUGGUACAAAGGAGAAGGGGAAUUACUGCAGAUUCAGGUCUUUGAGAAAGCCAGAGAGGCUGAAAUUCAGAUCACCCAGUGGAGGAUCUGGUCUUUGAUAGAAGAAGGGAACUUUCUCCUACUGUACAAGAAGGAAGCCCCAGAAUAUCAUUCUAAAUACUGUUAAAGAGCCCUGGUGGAUGGAUGAAGAAUUUGACAGACUGCUUCUAUUUUCUCAGCUACUCACUCACCUAAAAGUGAGUGGACGAGAGAGGAUGGGUGGUAUUGGAGGUUGGAGUAGGAGGUAGAGUAAACCACUCUUGGGAAUGGAGAACAAACUCAUCAGGACAAUGCAAUGGGUUUGUGGAGCAGUGCUGAGGCCUAAGCUCUGAGAUUUGUGAUCAGUUGUGUGGUUUAUCCAGCCAUAUCAGCCUUGCAGGUUCAGGGCAGAUAGAGGGGAAAGAAAGUUAAGGACAUUUACAAGCAAGACAUUUAAAUGGUAGACUAUAGAAUCUGUGGGCUUCCCAGGUGGCUCAGUGGUAAAGAAUCUGCCUGGCAAGCAGGAGACAUGGGUUUGGUCAAUGAGUCAGGAAGAUUCCCUAGAAAAUGAAAUGGCAACCCAUUCUAGUAUUCUUGGCUGGGAAAUCCCAUGGACAGAGAAGCCUGGAAGGCUAUAGUCCAUGGGAUUGCAAAAGAGUUGUACAUGACUUAGAGACUACGCAACAACAACAACAGAAUCUAUGGUGGGUAAAGAGAGAUGUAAAGACCUAAGAGGGAUAUGUAAAGAAUUGGUAGGUUCAGUGAAUUGGAAGCUUGGUACUGAGAAGAACAUGAGUGUGGGCACUAUAAAAAACAGAAUCAGUAUAUUUGUAGGAGAGACCAGAGAGAAAGAUGCUCAAAAUAAAAAUUUUAGAAGUUGAUGUUAAAAGACAGUUUGAGAGGUAACUAUGGACAUAGGUGGGUUGGAGGAAAAGAUCGUUUAAGUGAGAGGGUUGAACUAGGAGAUUGGGGAGAGAAGAAUGGGAAACAAUUGGUGAAUCUGUACAGGAUUUCCUUUGGGGUGAUGAAAAUGUUCUGGAACUAGGGAGAGAUUAGUUGUACAACGUGGUGAAUGUACUACAUGUCACUGAAUUUUUUACUUUAAUUGAUUUUAUUGUAUGUAAAUUUCACCUCAAUAAUAAUAAAGAAAGAAUAAAAAACACAUGGAUUUUCUAUGUGGUUGCUGAAGUCACCAAGAAUGAGGACACAAGCAGAGAUAGAGAACUCAGUGAGCCAGGUAGAAGGUUAUUAGUGACCUGGGGAGGGUGACUAAGCAUGAAGUCAUACCACGCCUAGUGUUGCAACAGUGUGUCAUCCUGUAAAUUUGUUUCUGGCUUGCUCCAUGUUCAUCCAACCAGAUUUUAAAAGACUUAACUGUAUACAGUAUGCUAAACAGAAGGGAAUGAAGGUGAGAGGGUAAAAGAAAAAUAAACUGACUCAUACCAUGAAAACAUUUAUAAUUAAGCAAAGGAGAAGAUACACGCAAAGCAGCUUUAAAACAAGGCAGUAUAAGUAGUCCAUCCAUCUAACAUCAGUAAGAGGUUUGAAGGCAGGAAUUACCUGUUUCAUUUAUAUCAUACUUAACAUCUUCGGAAACUAUGUGUUCCGAUUCAUUUAGCAUCUAACAUUUAUCUAGCAUCUAACAAAUGCUAAGAAUGUGCUUUAUAAAUAUUGACUGACAUUUAGUCUCUUUAGUAUCCUUGGAUAGUGAAGUUAUAAGCAUGGUAAGCCAAAGUAAAAACAGCAAUAAUAACAAUAGGUAAUGUUGCUUUUCUUGUCCCCAGAAUUGUUGAAAGCAAUAUCUAUAUCUAUAUCUAUACCUAUAUCUAUAUAUAUAGAGAGAGUGUGUGUGUUUGUGUAAAACGUAAUCUAUGAGUAAGGUGCUAUUACAUGGGAAAUUAGGCACAGGAAGGUUGAGAAACUUGCUCAAACCCACACAGCUAGGAAGUAGCAGGACCAGAGUGUGAACCCAGACAGAGUAACUCUUGGCUCCACUCUUUUAGCUACCAUCUCCCUCUUCUAUUUAAGAAAAGGAAAUUUCCAUGCUAUACUCUGAAGUCUGUGCCCCAAGGCAAACUUUCUCAUUUUGUGCAGUCUUGUACAGACAUCAAAGAGUGCUCACAGGAAAUAUUUCUGAAGAAUUACUCUCCUUCUUGUUUGUAGAGGUAGUUCAGGGAAAAAUAAUGAUAAUGUAUUCAUUACCAAAGGGAGACCAGUGGAGUUUGAGUUCUAGACUCUGAGAGGUGGCUCUUUGUACAAACUCAUUACCUCUCUGGAAUGGUCAGUCUGACAGAGGGCAGGGUACAGUAGUCAGGGACGCAACACACCAACCCAGAUGUGUCUGCAUUUAAUCUGAGCUCUGCUCUUGACUAGUUAAUUGUGUGACUUCCGGUAAGUUACUUAACCUCUCUCUACCUCAGUUUCCUCAUUUUAAAGACGGAGACAAUUAUUCUACCUACUUCCUAGGGUUUUUCGCGAGAUUAAAUGUGAUGAUUCACGUAAACCACCUCGUACAGAACCUAGAGCAGAGUGAAGGCCCAAUACAAACUACUCUCCUGCACACACUCUUCAGUGCUGCUCCGUUUCUUGUUAAAGUCUGAACUCCUUAGCAUGGCCUGGAAGGUCUUUCCUUAACUCCUGAACCGACUCCAGCUUACCUCAUCACUAUCCACUUUCCCUCUCUUAAUCUGUGUGUGAGUCGCUCAGUCACAUCCAAUUUUUUGCAACCUCAUGGACUGUAGCUGCUCAGGCUCCUCUGGAGUGGGUUGCCAUUCCUUUCUCCAGAGGACUGUAAAGCUGAGAUCCUAUCAUAAUUGUAUGCUUGUCAUUCUUGCAUGUACUUCAUACUCUGGGGCUACCUAGCAAUAUCCCUAAUGUAGUCAAAACACAAUCCAAUUCUGUCACCCACUAGCCCUUUGCAUUUUUAUUCAGAACAGGUAAUUUUGUCCUGCCCUCCAAUGUAAACAUGGGCAGAUCCCAGGACUUCUUAAUUAGUGUGGAGUGCUACUCAUUUUAUAAGUCACAAAUAACAGUCUUGAUUUGUAGUAAGAAUGUUUCUAGGUAAGGAAUUAGUUGAACACCUUCAUCUCUGUUCAAAAAGGGAGUGUUCUCUCCAUGUGUGAAGGCCUGUGGUCACCUUCUGUUCCCUCCUCACUCACUUCCUCCCUGUGCAAUAGCAGCUGCAUCAGACUCCACCUGGGUGGAAGCCACCUGAAGCAGGACAGGUCAGGGAGAGGCUGUUCUUACUUCUUAACAUGUCUUCAGUUUCUCUGGAUCUGGCAGAUGCUAAACUUGAAUCUUUCUUUUCUAGUGCCUCAUGCACAUCCUUUUUUUAAAUUAUAAUUUAUUCUUUGCUUUUUAGAUAGCAGCUUAUUGAAAAGGAUAUUUACAGGGGUCCUCAACCUCGGGGAUCUAAUGACUGAUGAUCUGAGGUGAAGCUGAUGUAAAAAUAAUAGAAAUAGAGCGCACAAUAAAUGUAAUGCGCUUGAAUUGUUCCAAAACCAUUCUUCUACCCCAAGUCCAUGGAAAAAUUGUCUUCCACAAAUUUUUCUGUCUUCCACAACCAAAAAGCAUAUUUUACUGACUAGCAAAUUGAAAGGAUUGAAGGCCUUGGGACUCUUUUAACUGCAGAUAACAGAAAAUGCAACCCAAACUGGCUUAAGCAAAAAAGAUUAACUGUUGCCAACCAAAUACCAAAGAUGGGAGGAAGGAAACUAAUAGAAACGGCAACCCACUCCAGUACUCUUGCCUAGAAAAUCCCAUGGACGGAGAAGCUUGAUGCAGGCUACUGUCCAUGGGGUCGCAAAGAGUCGGGCACAACUGAGCGACUUCACUUUACUUUGAAACAUAAACAUUAGCCUACAUCGUUUAUUUAUUUUUUGUUAUAAUCCUGUGAAGUAAAUACUGUUUACAGAUGGUAGAUGGAGUCAUUUGUAUACUUGGAACAGACAGGAUCCUGCAUCUAACAAGUAGGGGACAUCUGAACCUAAGAGUAAAUCUCUCAUCAUACAUUGCUGGUUGGAAUAUAAAAUGGAACAGUCACUCUGGAAAACAGUCUGGCAGUUUCUAAAAAAAUUAAAUAUUGAGUUACCAUGUACAUGCACGCUAAGUCGCUUCAGUUGUAUCCCAUAGAUCCUAUGAACUGUAGCCUUCCAGGCCCCUCUGUCCAUGGGAUUUUCUAGGCAAGAAUACUGGAGUGGGUUGCCAUGCUCUCCUCCAGGGGAUCUUUCCGACUCAGGGAUCAAACCUGCAUCUCCUGUGGCUCCUGCAUUGCAGGUGGAUUCUUUACUGCUGAGCCACCGGAAAAGCAUUUGAGUUACUGUAUAACCCAGCAAUUUAAUUCUAAGUUUAUACCCAAGAGAAAUAAAAAUAUUUUCACACAAAAGCUCAUAGUACAUAAAUAUUCAUAGAGUAAAAAAGUGGAAACAACCCAAAUAUCCAUCAGCUGAUGAAUGGAUAGACAAAAUGUAAUAUAUUCUUACAAUAGAAUUCUAUUUGGCAAUUUAAAGAAAUGAAGUACUAAUACAUGCUACAACAUUUAUGAAACUUGGAAACACUGUGCUCAGUGAAAUAAGCCAGACAUGAAAGAUUGCAUCUUAUAUUACUUCAUUUAUAUGAAACAGCUAGAAUAGGCAAAUGUGUAGAGACAGAAGUGAUUGCCUAAGGCUAGAGGAAGGGAAAGUGACUGCUAAUGGAUAC